rnacentral:snRNA from 1 species
GGAUGCGAUCAUACCAGCACUAA